CUCGAUGAGUAGGGCGGGACACGUGGUAUCCUGUCUGAAUAUGGGGGGACCAUCCUCCAAGGCUAAAUACUCCUGACUGACCGAUAGUGAACCAGUACCGUGAGGGAAAGGCGAAAAGAACCCCGGCGAGGGGAGUGAAAAAGAACCUGAAACCGUGUACGUACAAGCAGUGGGAGCCCCACCACCAAAGCAUUCUCUGGUGUUGAAGGCCCUGCAAAGCAGCAUCGCGGUGGCGGAGCGUCGUUUGCGACGCCCAACACACAAAACAAGCGGUGAGUGCUUUGGGGUGGGGUGACUGCGUACCUUUUGUAUAAUGGGUCAGCGACUUAUAUUCUGUAGCAAGGUUAACCGAAUAGGGGAGCCGGAGGGAAACCGAGUCUUAAUUGGGCGUUAAGUUGCAGGGUAUAGACCCGAAACCCGGUGAUCUAGCCAUGGGCAGGUUGAAGGUUGGGUAACACUAACUGGAGGACCGAACCGACUAAUGUUGAAAAAUUAGCGGAUGACCUGUGGCUGGGGGUGAAAGGCCAAUCAAACCGGGAGAUAGCUGGUUCUCCCCGAAAGCUAUUUAGGUAGCGCCUCGUGAAUUCAUCUCCGGGGGUAGAGCACUGUUUCGGCUAGGGGGCCAUCCCGGCUUACCAACCCGAUGCAAACUGCGAAUACCGGAGAAUGUUAUCACGGGAGACACACGGCGGGUGCUAACGUCCGUCGUGAAGAGGGAAACAACCCAGACCGCCAGCUAAGGUCCCAAAGUCAUGGUUAAGUGGGAAACGAUGUGGGAAGGCCCAGACAGCCAGGAUGUUGGCUUAGAAGCAGCCAUCAUUUAAAGAAAGCGUAAUAGCUCACUGGUCGAGUCGGCCUGCGCGGAAGAUGUAACGGGGCUAAACCAUGCACCGAAGCUGCGGCAGCGAACGUAUCACUUAAAGCGAUUCAGCGGGUUACGAUUGACGGAGCGAAGCGACGUCAAAGCGUAUACAAAGUCGAGUCGGUUUAAGGAUACGUUCGUUGGGUAGGGGAGCGUUCUGUAAGCCUGUGAAGGUGUGUCGUGAGGCAUGCUGGAGGUAUCAGAAGUGCGAAUGCUGACAUAAGUAACGAUAAAGCGGGUGAAAAGCCCGCUCGCCGGAAGACCAAGGGUUCCUGUCCAACGUUAAUCGGGGCAGGGUGAGUCGACCCCUAAGGCGAGGCCGAAAGGCGUAGUCGAUGGGAAACGGGUUAAUAUUCCCGUACUUGGUGUUACUGCGAAGGGGGGACGGAGAAGGCUAUGUUGGCCGGGCGACGGUUGUCCCGGUUUAAGCGUGUAGGUGUGUGUUCCAGGUAAAUCCGGUUCACUUUAACACUGAGGCGUGAUGACGAGGCACUACGGUGCUGAAGCAACAAAUGCCCUGCUUCCAGGAAAAGCCUCUAAGCAUCAGGUAACAUCAAAUCGUACCCCAAACCGACACAGGUGGUCAGGUAGAGAAUACCAAGGCGCUUGAGAGAACUCGGGUGAAGGAACUAGGCAAAAUGGUGCCGUAACUUCGGGAGAAGGCACGCUGACAUGUAGGUGAAGUGAUUUACUCAUGGAGCUGAAGUCAGUCGAAGAUACCAGCUGGCUGCAACUGUUUAUUAAAAACACAGCACUGUGCAAACACGAAAGUGGACGUAUACGGUGUGACGCCUGCCCGGUGCCGGAAGGUUAAUUGAUGGGGUCAGCGCAAGCGAAGCUCCUGAUCGAAGCCCCGGUAAACGGCGGCCGUAACUAUAACGGUCCUAAGGUAGCGAAAUUCCUUGUCGGGUAAGUUCCGACCUGCACGAAUGGCGUAAUGAUGGCCAGGCUGUCUCCACCCGAGACUCAGUGAAAUUGAACUCGCUGUGAAGAUGCAGUGUACCCGCGGCAAGACGGAAAGACCCCGUGAACCUUUACUAUAGCUUGACACUGAACAUUGAGCCUUGAUGUGUAGGAUAGGUGGGAGGCUUUGAAGCGUGGACGCCAGUCUGCGUGGAGCCGACCUUGAAAUACCACCCUUUAAUGUUUGAUGUUCUAACGUGGACCCGU
rnacentral:rRNA from 1 species